ACAGACAGAGAGAGAGAGAGAGAGAGAGAGAGAGACAGCUUCUGUGACAGACAGACAGACAGAGAGAGAGAGAGACAGCUUCUGUGACAGACAGACAGACAGAGAGAGAGACAGCUUCUGUGACAGACAGACAGACGGAGAGAGAGAGACAGCUUCUGACAGACAGACAGAGAGAGAGAGAGAUUCUGUGACAGACAGACAGAGAGAGAGUGAGACAGCUUCUGUGACAGACAGACAGACAGAGAGAGAGUGAGACAGCUUCUGUGACAGACAGACAGACAGAGAGAGAGAGAGACAGCUUCUGUGACAGACAGAGAGAGAGAGAGAGAGACAGCUUCUGUGACAGACAGACAGACAGACAGAGAGAGAGACAGCUUCUGUGACAGACAGACAGACGGAGAGAGAGAGACAGCUUCUGUGACAGACAGGGAGACACAGACAGACAGAGAGACAGCUUCUGUGACAGACAGACAGAGAGAGAGACAGCUUCUGUGACAGACAGACAGACGGAGAGAGAGACAGCUUCUGUGACAGACAGACAGACAGAGAGACAGCUUCUGUGACAGACAGGGAGACACAGACAGACAGAGAGACAGCUUCUGUGACAGACAGGGAGACACAGACAGACAGAGAGACAGCUUCUGUGACAGACAGGGAGACACAGACAGACAGAGAGACAGCUUCUGUGACAGACAGACAGACAGAGAGACAGCUUCUGUGACAGACAGGGAGACACAGACAGACAGAGAGACAGCUUCUGUGACAGACAGGGAGACAGAGAGACAGCUUCUGUGACAGACAGAUAGACGGAGAGAGAGACAGCUUCUGUGACAGACAGACAGACAGACAGACAGACAGACAGCUUCUGUGACAGACAGACAGACAGAGAGAGAGAGACAGCUUCUGUGACAGACAGACAGACGGAGAGAGAGACAGCUUCUGUGACAGACAGACAGACAGAGAGACAGCUUCUGUGACAGACAGACAGACGGAGAGAGAGACAGCUUCUGUGACAGACAGACAGACAGACGUCCGUUAGGUACAGACUGACAUUAGUUUACUAACAGCCGCCAUUAUGAACAAAGAACCGUUAAUUAACCAGCUUUGUUUAAAGUUAGACUGCGCGUGCGCGAUCGCGCUGCAGCGCCGCAGAUUACGGCGCAUGCGCUGUGGGAAUACUGUAAUGACAGCGAGCAGCGACACCUACAGACGGUCCCAUGUUAGCUACCAGGCUAACACACAGCUAACUGUCUGCAGUACAGUGUAGACCAUAAACUAACCUCAGAAACAAGUUGAGUGCUGCUGACUGAAGAGAGAAACGUUUUUUCUUUGUCAUUAUAAAGAGGAAAGUUAAUUAGUAAUAUAUGUUAAGGCACCAGUGUUUAAUGUGUAUACACUGUCAGUAAUUAUAUAAUUAAGAGAAUGAUGAGCUUUAAUGGUCAGAACAUUAAUUAUAUAUUUUACUGUUAAUGGAUUCUGCAGGAGAUCAAUAAUGACAAAUCAAAGUGACACAAACAACUUUAUUCACAUAUCAAUCUUUACAGAGAGAGACAGGAUAUUGAUCUGUUCAACAUACAAACAUAAUAAACAAACUGUCCCUUCAUAUCCUGACGGGAGGAGCAGGAAAUUAACUUCUAGCUACCAACAUAUUAAUCAAUCAAUAAAAUUACACCUGACUGAAACAUACAACAUAUUAAUCAAUCAAUAAAAUUACACCUGACUGAAAUAUACAACAUAUUAAUCAAUAAGACAGUGAUACAUACAGUGAUAUUGUAUCAGUUGCUUCAAAUAAUUAAAAACAGCUUCAUUCAGUGUUAAUGACGAAAUAAAAUGUGAGUCAGGGCCGGACCCACCUACUGACAGGGACCCCUGGGGGCCCCCUACUGUUCCCACUGUCUGUGAAUUAACCACAUUAUGAAUUCAGAUCAGCUGAUACUGAACAUUAUUAAUAUUACGGCAGUUAUUGAUCAGCGUGUGUCUGAAAGCUCAAACAUAACCAGCUGAGCUGCUCAGGUAGUCAUAAUGCUGGUGGUGCCUUCAGGGUCUGUUCGUUACAGAGAGCAUCAGUACCUACAGUUCAAUAUGUUCACAGUCAACACUUUAAAGACUUUUAUUCUGAAGUUUCUGCUCCUGUUUCAUUUUUAUAAUAAACACCUGAAGAACGUUAGCUUAGCAUCAACCUCAGUGUCCCAUUGAGAAGAUCUGGAGUGUGAAACCAGGCAGUUCAGAGGAGAGCAGACCCGUGUCACUGUAACAGAACGACCACGCCCCCUUCAGACAGUCAGUGUGUCUGUGUCCAACUCUUCCUCACAGGUUAGUUAAUGACAGACAGUCAGUGAGUGUGUCUGUGUCCAACUCUUCCUCACAGGUUAGUUAAUGACAGACAGUCAGUGAGUGUGUGUGUGUCCAACUCUUCCUCACAGGUUAGUUAAUGACAGACAGUCAGUGAGUGUGUCUGUGUCCAACUCUUCCUCACAGGUUAGUUAAUGACAGACAGUCAGUGAGUGUGUCUGUGUCCAACUCUUCCUCACAGGUUAGUUAAUGACAGACAGUCAGUGAGUGUGUCUGUGUCCAACUCUUCCUCACAGGUUAGUUAAUGAUGUUACUGAGUCAAUGUGAGCAGAUUGUGUCUGUAGAUUGAAGAGAAUCAGAGUCUCACUGAUGGUGGAAAUAAAGGUUUUACUUCCUUAAAACAGCCGUUUUUUGAAUGGAGUUUGGUGUGACAGUGUGGAGCAGAGGGGAUUUGAACCUUAAUAAUUCCCAUAAACUGAGCUGACCUACCUUCUAAUAAUGAACCUUGGAAACAGCAGAAAGUAACAGGAAGUGGAGAUAAAAGGACACUCAUCAACCACAAUGUUUAUUUACAACAACAACACAACAGCAUUGUUUACUGACUGCACAGAGGAUUUAUAAUAGAUAAAUGUCAAUAUUCUUAAUUCAUGACAUUAAAGACUCCUGAAUGCCUGAAAGGGGGCGGGGUUUGACACAGCGGUCUGCUCUCCUGUUUCUAUAAAUGAAUAAAUGAUGGACACUGAAGAAAUGUUUGUCCAGCAGAGAGCGCUGAUGAGUUAAUAUCACUGAUUAUUGGUUCCAGUGUGGUUGUUACAGUUGAUCAAAUGUUUAAUAAAAGAUUGAAAGCUUUUAUUUUGAAGGACCAGUUUCCUCUGCAGCCUCCCAGUAAAAAAACAGAACAAACAUAAAAACAUGAAACAGAUGUUUAAAGUUGGUUCAUUCACACGUUCACUGUUUAUUUCAUUUAGUGAAAUGAAUCUGAACGAUGGACAGGUUAUUGAUUACUAAUUUACUGGAUUAGUCUUUAAAAUAAUCCAAUAAAUAUCAGCUCACUGACACCAGAACUAAUGACUUCAUAUGAUUUUAAAUUGUUGUUCGUGAAUUUGAAAAACUUAUUGUUUUAAAUUGUUUCACCCUAAAGUGUCCAAAUUAUAUUUUACAAGUUCAAUGCUAAUAAUGCUAAUAAUGCUAAUAAUCCACCUUCAGGUUCGUUAACAGUAACUGACUUAUUCACUUCCUGUUAAGUACAAUAAUGGAACAGAGGCUAACAGUUUCCCUCUGCUUUCAGUCUGUGCUAAGCUAGGCUAACAGUCACAGUCAGAGGGGAACCAGCCUACCUCCAGCGAGUCUCCACCCGCCUGCUGCUGCUCAGUACUGUAAAUCCAGCGUCUCUGAUCAGCUGACUGACGAGCUCAGGUCCAAUCAGGGGCCGAUGAUGUACCUGUAGUCUCCUCCGAUGGCGAGUGCGGCCCCGGACCCCACCAUCAGCCAGUCCUUCUCCUCGUCAUCCGCCCUCCGCUGCCAGGGGACACUCCAGCUCAGACUCCCGGCUGCUGCCACUUCCUCCGCCGCCGCCGCCAGCGGGGCCCCGACUGCUCCUCCUCGUCCUCCCCCUCGACUCAGUUCCCCCUCGUCCCCCUCCAGGUUGACAUACAGCAGAGGCUCCUUCUGUGGGGAGGCGGGGGACAGGCUAAGCCACAGCGCCUCCAGCUGGACUACCAGACGCUGGAAACUGGGACGACAUUUAGGAACGGGACUCCAGCAGCUGUGCAUGAUCUCAUAACUGCAGGAAUACCAAAGAAGAAGAACACACUAAUCUGUACGGAGGCUACACAAUUAAUAAAUAACAACAGAAUAACACUGAAAACAUUCAGGAAAUAAAGAGGAUAGAAAACAUAAA